AAACAGUGAUUGAUUCAUUCAAUCUACAUAGUUUUCAUUAGGUGUAUUAUGAUCCAUUGGUCGUGUGUCCAUCGUCCAUGUUUAAGUUGGUCAAAUCUAAAUGAUGUUCUCUCUACUAAAGCUCAUUUUGAUAUGCGACCUGUUUACUAUUAUCACAGAUUGUCGACGUAAAAGGUAGUUAAAGAAAUAAAUAGAUAAACAGGUGAGCGAUACUGGUACCAUUGUUUUGGGGUUUUUUGUUUCGAAUUUUUAUUGAUGUAUUUUUUUUAUCUCUUUUAUAUUAAUUGUUGUGAUAUUGUAAUCAUAUUGUUAGUCAUUUUAUGAACUGUUGAUGUGUUUUAAUGAACCCCGAGGCUGUGUUCAGUUCCACUGAUAGAACACCACAAAGUUUAAACCAGAGACCACUUUGGAAGACGGAUAAGUGAAAAGGGGCAGUUUAAGCCGGCCGUGGCCAUUUAAAAACCCAAGAAGACGAUUAUAUAAGCGUUGAAAUAAUUGAUUGCAUUGAUGAACUAAGUGCGACACAUCCUCCCUCGUGCACAUUCUGGGUACCAUGGUGAAGCAGCGGAGAGUGCACCAGCCUUUCAAAAGAUAACCGGGAUUUGAUUCAAGGAUAUAUAAGAUGUGUCGCGACACCAAUGUUGAGAGGGAACCGGAAACUAAAUCCGAACUGUUAUACAAUAUCGGUGAACAAGACUGAAAACACAUUAGUAUAAGCCUCUAUUAAUGUUUUGCAUUGGUAUUCACCUCAAGUAGUAUUUCUGCAAACCGGGUGUGGGACUAUAGUUUCCCUUCCGUUAGUCCGCUUCAUAAAAUCUCUGAUAACUUUGAUAAUGAAUGUUUGGUAAGGAUCUAUGUUAUCAUUACUUUUUGUUUAAUAUUUCAUCAGAGAUCUAAUGACUUACAUUGUAUGUAAUUCCUUGACCAGUUUCAAUUGUAGUGUAACUGUUACGACAGCGGAUAUUUUGGGUCAUUUCCUGUUUUCGCUUCGAAGGAAAAUUGAUUGCCCGGUCAAAAUUGGUGAUGAAUAUUAUAUUCAUUUUGAAAAUGGGUGAAUUUCGCAGUAUAAAUUCUCAAAAAUCUUAAAUGUUUACCUAUUAAUUGUUAUUACCUGAACUUUUCGGGAAAAAAUCAAUCGGACUUACGAAAUUUAUAUCAACAUUUCUUAUUGAUAGUUACCUAUCAGGCUACAUAUCUAUUUUCUCGCUUCAUAGCAUACUGGCCAAUCAGUGGCUGCCAGACAUUUUAUCCUUGGCUCAACUUUCUAUACACAGGGGCUGUUUCAAAAAUCUAUUUUUUCAAUUGGUUGGUUGUUCCCUAAAACAUGCAUAUUUAGGCAGUUAUUACCUUAAGAUAUGGAAUUGGUUUAUUUUUAAGGCUGUUGUUGCAACAGUUUCGUUAUCCACGUGUGUAAAGAUUUAACAAAACCGUUGCGAUGACAAACCUCACCAGUCGAACUCAACUGGCUAGUUCAAGCUCUGUUCUGACACGGUGCAUAUGCGUCAUACAUCCGUGGAAAGAAAAAAUCAUGACCAUUUUAAUGAUACGAAAUCUUGGCCUGAUCUCAAGCAUUUAAUUUAUUCAAUUUCGGAGAAAAUCAAAACAUGUAAAUUAUUUUCCUUAGCUUUUGACUUUCGAGAAGUGUUUAACGAAAUCUGACCAAAUUGUUCUAUUUAUCUGAUAGACUGAACAGCUAAUCAACCUUUCUAUGAAGUUACAUCGUAAUGAUUUAUCAAUCCUUGGAAAAGUACUUACUGACGACAAUUGUAAUCUGAUACUCACCUUGUUUUUCCUUCAAAGCAUCCGUUGCCGUAACAGUUACAUUACAUUGGUUUCGUUUAACUUCACACAAUUAAUAUAAAGGACCAGAUUCAGAGUUAUUUGGUCAAAGUCAGGGUCAACGAUACUAUUUUCAGAAACUAGCUCUAAGCGAUCGACCGGCUUCAUUCCUUGAAGGAUUUCUAUCAAAUAUUACGAACUAAUAAAGAACAAUGAUCGCAAACAAGUUUGAGGUUCUGGAUAUUUUGGCUAAGGUCAAGGUCACACUUUUACAAAUGACCAUAAUAUAUGGACAAUAUCCAGGGUUAAUUGGCCGAGGUCGCAGUUACGGUAUCUAGACAAUCCUUUGUCUGCGCUCUUUUGGCUUCAUUUCUCGAAGAAAUUUCACCAAACGCCAAAUACUAAUUAAGGACCAUAUUAUAUCGGCCAUGACGAGGUACCGAUAUCCAGACUAACAAAUGUUUUGCAUAUUAUUGAAAUUUUGAAUUAUACUUCAACAUUUAGUCAUUUUAUAUAUAUUGAUAUUGGUGUUUUAAUAAACAACAUUUGAACGCUUCUUA